UGGAGCUAGAUGAAUUUGUCGUCAUUACGCUAAUUUUAUCAUCGAUUAAACAUUUGAUCUCAAUACAGUUCUGUUUCCAAAACUAGAAUGGGUUACGAACAGAGUGGACAAAGUGUUGUAGACUUUACCAUUUGCUAAAGUUUAAAAAAACUGGUGUUUAGAAGGAGUGCAUAGGCAAAUAGUUAUUACACACGUGCACUUCACAGUGUAGGCGUUCUCUCCUUGCCCGUUACAUUGGACAACGACAAGCUGUGGUCUAUCUUGGGUUAGUUAAAAAAAUCUCUGGAGCGAAUCCCGGGGAUCUCGGCCUGGUCGGGUGUUUGUUGUAGUAUAUCUCUCCUGUCUGAAGAAGAAGAACUCUUCGUCCAGUUUGAGACACAGAAAGCUGUGACGGCCUGUAUGCAGAUGAAGAGCCGUGGUUCUCAGUCUGGUCCUGGGGACUCAAAGGGGUGUACAUGUUUGUUUUUUGCCUUAGCUUCAAGUGAUAUCUUGCAACUGGAGAUUCCAUCAAAACGAUUGCCUACAGUUACCGUGUAGGGCACUGCACGGUUGGGUGACCAGGACCAUCUGAGACUGCCUCGUGGGGGAAUUCUUCCAUUUACUUAGCUAUGUCAACUGCAGUUAUUCAAAUCCCAUUUUCUUGCCCUUCGACUGUACAAAAACAGGCUCUUUUAAGAGUCACCCAUAUUGGAAAAAUAUAGAACAAUUAGACACCCUACAACCCACACCUACAUUGUAUCAAUCUGAUUGAUGUAUUGUGUUGUUCAGUAAGCAGGAUCAGGUGUAUAGAUGUGGCUCCUUCUACUUUCAGAGAAUAGGCAAGAGGACCAACCAUGGAGAAUGAACCAUGAAUUAUAACCAUGCUGCAAUUUGGUCCGCCUCCUUCGACGGAAGAAUCCCUUGACGUCGGCUGUAUCUGUGACCCUCUCCCGCUUCUGAACUGCCUGACACAUAGAGAGCACAGCAUGAUCAGAGGUAUCUUUUGAUGUGAGAGGAUGACAACUCCCAACCCUCGGGCCAAUUGGGGGCCCAAUGCUUGAGUAGGAGAUAGCGCUAGAGACACUAUUAUGUCAUUGUGAUGACCUUAGAGACUAUGGAGUUUAGUUGCACUGCAUUUCAUUCAUCAUUAUGCUGUCUUCUCUGUUCUUAUCGCUUUCCCUUUCUGUCUUUUACACUAUUUCUCAUAUCUCUCUCCCCACCUCCCCUUUCUUCCUCUGUUUUUAUGAUGCACACCAGAUGUGCAUUGAAAUACAGAUUGAACUUGUUUUUAUAAUAUUACAAUUAUAGUAUUCAUAAUGUAUGUAUUUAUAUCACUUGGAUAAUGAACUUCUUUCAGUAAAGCUUUUCACAUUCUCCACUGGAAUUGGUUCAUAUUCUUUAAUGGUUGAAAUCAAGUCUCUCAUUUGAUGAAAUACUACACCUAUCAUUUGUCCUCAGAUCGGUGCAGAUGAAUUUAAUUAGAUAUUGAGAUUAACCUGUUUUAGAGAAUUUACAUGGUGCAUAGGAAGUGUACUGUUUAAAAAAAA